rnacentral:rRNA from 1 species
UACAGAGGUCUCAAGCGUUGUUCGGAUUCAUUGGGCGUAAAGGGUGCGUAGGUGGCGUGGUAAGUCGGGUGUGAAAUUUCGGAGCUUAACUCCGAAACUGCAUUCGAUACUGCUGUGCUUGAGGACUGGAGAGGAGACUGGAAUUUACGGUGUAGCAGUGAAAUGCGUAGAUAUCUGGAGGAACACCGGUGGCGAAGGCGGCAUCCUGGACCGGCAUUGACGCUGAGGCGCGAAAGCCAGGGGAGCAAACGGG